UAAGGGCGCACGGUGGAUGCCUUGGCACUAGAAGCCGAUGAAGGACGUUACUAACGACGAUAUGCUUUGGGGAGCUGUAAGUAAGCUUUGAUCCAGAGAUUUCCGAAUGGGGAAACCCAGCAUGAGUUAUGUCAUGUUAUCGAUAUGUGAAUACAUAGCAUAUCAGAAGGCACACCCGGAGAACUGAAACAUCUUAGUACCCGGAGGAAGAGAAAGAAAAUUCGAUUCCCUUAGUAGCGGCGAGCGAAACGGGAAGAGCCCAAACCAACAAGCUUGCUUGUUGGGGUUGUAGGACACUCUAUACGGAGUUACAAAGGACGACAUUAGACGAAUCAUCUGGAAAGAUGAAUCAAAGAAGGUAAUAAUCCUGUAGUCGAAAAUGUUGUCUCUCUUGAGUGGAUCCUGAGUACGACGGAGCACGUGAAAUUCCGUCGGAAUCUGGGAGGACCAUCUCCUAAGGCUAAAUACUCUCUAGUGACCGAUAGUGAACCAGUACCGUGAGGGAAAGGUGAAAAGCACCCCGGAAGGGGAGUGAAAUAGAACCUGAAACCGUGUGCUUACAAGUAGUCAGAGCCCGUUAAUGGGUGAUGGCGUGCCUUUUGUAGAAUGAACCGGCGAGUUACGAUUUGAUGCAAGGUUAAGCAGUAAAUGUGGAGCCGUAGCGAAAGCGAGUCUGAAUAGGGCGUUUAGUAUUUGGUCGUAGACCCGAAACCAGGUGAUCUACCCUUGGUCAGGUUGAAGUUCAGGUAACACUGAAUGGAGGACCGAACCGACUUACGUUGAAAAGUGAGCGGAUGAACUGAGGGUAGCGGAGAAAUUCCAAUCGAACCUGGAGAUAGCUGGUUCUCUCCGAAAUAGCUUUAGGGCUAGCCUCAAGUGAUGAUUAUUGGAGGUAGAGCACUGUUUGGACGAGGGGCCCCUCUCGGGUUACCGAAUUCAGACAAACUCCGAAUGCCAAUUAAUUUAACUUGGGAGUCAGAACAUGGGUGAUAAGGUCCGUGUUCGAAAGGGAAACAGCCCAGACCACCAGCUAAGGUCCCAAAAUAUAUGUUAAGUGGAAAAGGAUGUGGCGUUGCCCAGACAACUAGGAUGUUGGCUUAGAAGCAGCCAUCAUUUAAAGAGUGCGUAAUAGCUCACUAGUCGAGUGACACUGCGCCGAAAAUGUACCGGGGCUAAACAUAUUACCGAAGCUGUGGAUUGUCCUUUGGACAAUGGUAGGAGAGCGUUCUAAGGGCGUUGAAGCAUGAUCGUAAGGACAUGUGGAGCGCUUAGAAGUGAGAAUGCCGGUGUGAGUAGCGAAAGACGGGUGAGAAUCCCGUCCACCGAUUGACUAAGGUUUCCAGAGGAAGGCUCGUCCGCUCUGGGUUAGUCGGGUCCUAAGCUGAGGCCGACAGGCGUAGGCGAUGGAUAACAGGUUGAUAUUCCUGUACCACCUAUAAUCGUUUUAAUCGAUGGGGGGACGCAGUAGGAUAGGCGAAGCGUGCGAUUGGAUUGCACGUCUAAGCAGUAAGGCUGAGUAUUAGGCAAAUCCGGUACUCGUUAAGGCUGAGCUGUGAUGGGGAGAAGACAUUGUGUCUUCGAGUCGUUGAUUUCACACUGCCGAGAAAAGCCUCUAGAUAGAAAAUAGGUGCCCGUACCGCAAACCGACACAGGUAGUCAAGAUGAGAAUUCUAAGGUGAGCGAGCGAACUCUCGUUAAGGAACUCGGCAAAAUGACCCCGUAACUUCGGGAGAAGGGGUGCUCUUUAGGGUUAACGCCCAGAAGAGCCGCAGUGAAUAGGCCCAAGCGACUGUUUAUCAAAAACACAGGUCUCUGCUAAACCGUAAGGUGAUGUAUAGGGGCUGACGCCUGCCCGGUGCUGGAAGGUUAAGAGGAGUGGUUAGCUUCUGCGAAGCUACGAAUCGAAGCCCCAGUAAACGGCGGCCGUAACUAUAACGGUCCUAAGGUAGCGAAAUUCCUUGUCGGGUAAGUUCCGACCCGCACGAAAGGCGUAACGAUUUGGGCACUGUCUCAACGAGAGACUCGGUGAAAUCAUAGUACCUGUGAAGAUGCAGGUUACCCGCGACAGGACGGAAAGACCCCGUGGAGCUUUACUGUAGCCUGAUAUUGAAAUUCGGCACAGCUUGUACAGGAUAGGUAGGAGCCUUUGAAACGUGAGCGCUAGCUUACGUGGAGGCGCUGGUGGGAUACUACCCUAGCUGUGUUGGCUUUCUAACCCGCACCACUUAUCGUGGUGGGAGACAGUGUCAGGCGGGCAGUUUGACUGGGGCGGUCGCCUCCUAAAAGGUAACGGAGGCGCUCAAAGGUUCCCUCAGAAUGGUUGGAAAUCAUUCAUAGAGUGUAAAGGCAUAAGGGAGCUUGACUGCGAGACCUACAAGUCGAGCAGGGUCGAAAGACGGACUUAGUGAUCCGGUGGUUCCGCAUGGAAGGGCCAUCGCUCAACGGAUAAAAGCUACCCCGGGGAUAACAGGCUUAUCUCCCCCAAGAGUUCACAUCGACGGGGAGGUUUGGCACCUCGAUGUCGGCUCAUCGCAUCCUGGGGCUGUAGUCGGUCCCAAGGGUUGGGCUGUUCGCCCAUUAAAGCGGUACGCGAGCUGGGUUCAGAACGUCGUGAGACAGUUCGGUCCCUAUCCGUCGUGGGCGUAGGAAAUUUGAGAGGAGCUGUCCUUAGUACGAGAGGACCGGGAUGGACAUACCUCUGGUGUACCAGUUGUCGUGCCAACGGCAUAGCUGGGU
rnacentral:rRNA from 1 species